rnacentral:rRNA from 1 species
GUCUUUUUGAUAAUAAUUUAAGGUCGGGCCUGCUCAAUGACUAAUUUAAAUAGCCGCAGUAUACUGACUGUGCAAAGGUAGCAUAAUCAUUAGUUUUUUAAUUGAAGACUUGUAUGAAUGGUUUAACGAAGGGUAGACUGUCUCAUUUUGAUAAUUAUAAUUUAACUUUUAAGUUAAAAGGCUUAAAUUACAUUCAUGGACGAGAAGACCCUAUAGAUCUUUAAUAUAAUAUACUAUAUAAUUUAAUGUUUAAUAUUUUUGUAUAUUAUUUAUUAUUUUCGUUGGGGUGAUGAAUAAAAUCAAUAAACUUUAUUAAUUAAUAUCACAUAUAAGUGUUAUAACAAUUGAUCCAUAAAUUAUGAUUAUAAGAUUAAGUUACCUUAGGGAUAACAGCGUUAUUGUUCUUUAGAGUUCUUAUUGAAAGAAUGGAUUGCGACCUCGAUGUUGGAUUAAGAUAAAAGUAUGGUGCAGUAGCUUAAUGUUUAGGUCUUGUCGACCUUUAAAUUCUU